CGUGGCGUGGCGGGCGCGCGCGACCUGCAAAGCCGCUGGGACGCGCUGCGCGGCGUGGUCGACGCGCGCCGCCACGC
rnacentral:tRNA from 1 species